UACGAAGGGAGCUAGCGUUGUUCGGAAUUACUGGGCGUAAAGCGCACGUAGGCGGAUAUGUCAGUCAGGGGUGAAAUCCCGGAGCUCAACUUCGGAACUGCCUCUGAUACAGCACGUCUUGAGUCCGGAAGAGGUGGGUGGAAUUCCUAGUGUAGAGGUGAAAUUCGUAGAUAUUAGGAAGAACACCGGUGGCGAAGGCGGCCCACUGGUCCGGUACUGACGCUGAGGUGCGAAAGCGUGGGGAGCAAACAGG
rnacentral:rRNA from 1 species